rnacentral:rRNA from 1 species
AUUGAACGCUGGCGGCAUGCUUUACACAUGCAAGUCGGACGGCAGCACAGAGAUGCUUGCUUCUUGGGUGGCGAGUGGCGAACGGGUGAGCUACAUAUCGGAACGUACCGAGCAGAGGGGGAUAACUAAUCGAAAGAUUAGCUAAUACCGCAUAGCUUCUGAGGAAGAAAGCAGGGGACCAUUUGGCCUUGCGCUGUUUGAGCGGCCGAUAUCUGAUUAGCUAGUUGGUGGGGUAAAGGCCUACCAAGGCGACGAUCAGUAGCGGGUCUGAGAGGAUGAUCCGCCACACUGGAACUGAGACACGGCCCAGACUCCUACGGGAGGCAGCAGUGGGGAAUUUUGGACAAUGGGCGAAAGCCUGAUCCAGCCAUGCCGCGUGUGUGAAGAAGGCCUUCGGGUUGUAAAGGACUUUUGUCAGGGAAGAAGAGGGCGGGGUUAAUACCCCUGUCUGAUGACGUUACCUAAAGAAUAAGCACCGGCUAACUACGUG